UAUUACUUGAUUUAUUUCACUUGACUGGGCGGGGUUCAACCGGUUCGCUUAUUUAAGAUCCGUCCAUCUAUAGACAGGUGCUUCGGGUUAAUCUCAUGAAUGAAGAGUCCAGUUAUUCGUCCUAUAUCAUACAUUCAGUUCAUUUGUAUCUACGUUUGGUGACACUGAUAGGUGAUUAGAAAUCAAUUAUAAUUAUAACGGUCAUCAUCCUUAUCACACACAUCUUCAAAUAGAUUGUCCUUAUGCAAAUUCAAACGUUAGCUCCGCCCGAUCAGUUGAAAUAACAUUGGUAAUGAGUGUUUUGAUUUUGGUUGGUUGCAUUUAUUAUCCUUAGAUAAAAGAGAGGUAUACGAUCUGUCGUUCAAUAUGCAAGACAGUUCAAUUGAGUUUUCCUCUUGUUUAAAAGCGUUUUAUAAUAUAUUAUUCUCUAUUAGCUAUUACCUUAUGGAACUCCUUUUUUUCUUUUUUUCUU
rnacentral:lncRNA from 1 species